GGGAAGGCUUACCUGCAGUCGAAACGAGCAUGUAAACAAUCCUUUCGGGUGCGUUUUAUAUGACUGAGUGGCGGACGGGUGAGUAACGCGUGGGGAACCUACCGUAUGCAGGGGGACAACAGUCAGAAAUGACUGCUAAUACCGCAUAAGCACACAAUGCUGCAUGGCAUGGUGUGAAAAGAUUUAUCGGCAUACGAUGGCCCCGCGUCUGAUUAGCCAGUUGGCAGGGUAAUGGCCUACCAAAGCAACGAUCAGUAGCCGGCUUGAGAGAGUGACCGGCCACAUUGGGACUGAGACACGGCCCAGACUCCUACGGGAGGCAGCAGUGGGGAAUAUUGCACAAUGGGGGAAACCCUGAUGCAGCGACGCCGCGAGAGUGAUGAAGUAUUUCGGUAUGUAAAGCUCUAUCAGCAGGGAAGAUAAUGACGGUACCUGACUAAGAAGCUCCGGCUAAAUACGUGCCAGCAGCCGCGGUAAUACGUAUGGAGCAAGCGUUAUCCGGAUUUACUGGGUGUAAAGGGAGCGCAGACGGCAGGGCAAGUCUGAUGUGAAAGUCCGGGGCUCAACCCCGGGACUGCAUUGGAAACUGUCCAGCUAGAGUGCAGGAGAGGUAAGUGGAAUUCCUAGUGUAGCGGUGAAAUGCGUAGAUAUUAGGAGGAACACCAGUGGCGAAGGCGGCUUACUGGACUGUAACUGACGUUGAGGCUCGAAAGCGUGGGGAGCAAACAGGAUUAAAUACCCUGGUAGUCC
rnacentral:rRNA from 1 species